rnacentral:rRNA from 1 species
UACCUGCAGCUCAAGUGGUGACCAUUAUUAUUGGGCCUAAAACGUUCGUAGCCGGUUUAAUAAAUGCCUGGGUAAAUCGUGUAGCUUAACUAUACGAAUUCCGGGUAGACUGUUAAACUUGAGACCGGGAGAAGCUAGAGGUACUCUUGGGGUAGAGGUAAAAUUCUGUAAUCCCAGGGGGACCACCAGUGGCGAAGGCGUCUAGCUAGAACGGGUCUGACGGUGAGGGACGAAGCCCUGGGGCGCAAACCGGAUUAGAUACCCGGGUAGUCCAGGGUGUAAACGCUGCUCGCUUGAUGUUAGUUGGGCUCCGAGCCCAAUUAGUGUCGGAGAGAAGUUGUUAAGCGAGCUGCCUGGGAAGUACGGUCGCAAGACUGAAACUUAAAGGAAUUGGCGGGGAGCACCACGAAGGGUGAAGCCUGCGGUUC